CCUAGUGGCGCAUGCCUGUAAUCCCAGCUACUUGGGAGGCUGAGGCAGGAGAAUUACUUGAACCCAGGAGGUGGAGGUUAUGGUGAGCCGAGAUUGCACAUUGCACACCAGCCUGGGCAACAAGAGCGAAACUCCAUCUCAAAAAAAAAAAAAAAAAAAAAAAUCAAAUAGUGUGAUGAAUUCCUUGAUGAAAAUAAAAAUAGGAUCAUGUGAUAGAAUAACUGGAGGUUAUUUUAGAUUGGUGAUGGGGAAAGCCUCUCUCUGACACUUAAGCUGAGAUCUGAAAGACAAUAAGGAGCCAGCCAUGCCUAGAUCAGAGAAGAGCAUUCCAGGCAGAGGAACAGCUAGUGCAAAACCCAAGGUGGGCUAACCCAAAGAAUCACAAGAAAAAAAAACUCCAGACUGAUAUCCCUGAAUAUAGAUGCACAAGUCCUCCACAGAGUUAGCAAACCGAAUCCAGCAACAUAUAAAAAAGGAUUAUACAUGAUGACUAAGUGGGAUUGUUUUUUGGGUUUUUUUUUUUUUUUUUGAGUUGGUGUCUCGCCCUGUUGCCUAGGCUGUAGUGCAAUUGUGCAGUUUCAGCUCACUACAACCUCUGCCUUCUGGGCUCCAGCAAUUCUCCUACCUCAGCCUCCUGAGUAUCUGGGACUAUAGGCAUGCAGCACCAUGCUCAGCUCAUUUUUUUGUAUUUUUAGUAGAGAUGGGGUUUCACCAUGUUGGCCAGGCUGGUCUCAAACUCCUGAACUUGAGUGAUCCGCCCACCUCAGCCUCCCAAAGUGCUGGGAUUACAGGUGUGAGCCAUCACACCCUGCCCCAAGUGGGAUUUAUCCAAGGAAUGCAAGGUUGGUUCAACAUAUGAAAAUCAGUCAAUAUAACAUAUCAUAUUAGUAGAAUAAAGGACAAAAGCUACAUCACUGUCUCAAUAGAUGCAGAAAAAGCAUUUGACAAAAUCCAACACAUUUAAAAAAACCUCAAUAAACUAGAAAUAGAAGAGCAUUUCCUCAACUUGAUAAAGGACAUCUAUGAAGACCCUGUAACUAACAUCAUACUUAAUGAAAGAAGCCAAGCGCAGUGGUGGAUGCUUGUAGUCCCAGGUAUUUUGGAGGCUGAGCGGGAGGAUUGCUUGAGGCCAGGAGUUCGAGACCAGCCUGGACAAUAUAGCCAGACUUUGUCUCUUAAAAAAAAAAAAAAGAAGAAAGAAAAUAAAGACAAAGCCUUUCCCUUAAGAUAACAAAGAAGAUAAAGAUGUCUGCUCUCUCAAAGUUAAAUGUCUUCUAUUUAACUUUGUUCUGUUGGGGCAAUUAGACAAGAAAAAAGAAACAAAAGGCAACCAAACAAAAGGUUGGAAAGGAAGAAGUAAAGCUGUCUGUAUUUGUAGAUGAUAUGAUCUUGCAUAUAGAAAAUCAUGAAGAAUUUCCAGAAAAACUAUUAGAGCUAAUGAACAGUAAAGAAGACCUAAGUAAAUGGAAAGACCCCAGUAUUCAUUGAUUGGAUAAACGUAGUAUUAGUAUUGUUAAGAUGUCUCUACUCCCCAAGUUGAUGUACAGAUUCAACACAAUUCCUAAAAAAAAAUCCCAAUUGGCUUCUUUGUACAAAUUGACAAGCUGCUCCUAAAAUGUAUAUGGAAUUGCAAGGGGCCCAGAAUAGCCAAAACUAACAAAAUUGGAGGACUUAUAGUUCUCAGUUUCAAAACUUGCUGCAAAACUACAGUAACCAAGAUAGUGUGGUACUGGCUAUAGCUCAUUAGAAUCGAAUUAAGGGUCUAGAAAUAGGCCAAGCAUGAUGGCUCAUGCCUGUAGUCCCAGCACUUUGGGAGGCUGAGGCAGGUGGAUUACUUGAGGUCAGGAGUUUGAGACCAGCCUGGCCAACAUGGUGAAACCUCAUCUCUACUAAAAAUAUUUACAAAAAUUAGCCAGAUGUGGUGGCGCAUGCUUGUAGUCCCAGCUACUCAGGAGGCUAAGGCACAAGAAUCACUUGAACCUGGGAGGUGGAGGUUGCAGUGAGCUGAGAUCACACCACUGCACUCCAGCCUGGGUGACAGAGUGAGACUGUCUCAAAUUUUUUUAAAAGUCUAGAAAUCCAUACAUUUAUGGUCAAUUGAUUUUUUUUUUCCUAAAGGUAGUUCCCAAAAGAUAGUUCUUUUUUUACUAUUAUUAUUUUAAGUUCUAGGGUACAUUUGCACAAUGUGCAGGUUUGUUACAUAUGUAUACAUGUGCCAUGUUGGUGUGCUGCACCCAUUAACUCAUCAUUUACAUUAGGUAUAUCUCCUAAUGCUAUCCCUCCCCCUCCCCAACCUUUUUUUUUGUUGUUGUUGUUGACAAGAGUGCCAAGACAAUCCAAUGGAGAAAGAAUAGUAUUCUCAAUAAAUGGAGCUGGGACAACUGGAUGUCCACAAUCAAAAGAAUGAAUUUAGACCCUAUGUCACAUCAUAUGUAAAAGUUAAAGAAGCUAAAUGAAUAGCUAAAACUAGAAAACUCUUAGAAGAAAAUAUAGGUGUAAAUAUUCAUGACAUUGAAUUAGGCAGUGGUUUCUUAGAUAUGAUGCCAUGAAGCAUAAGCAAUCAGAUGAAAAAUAGAGAAAUUGGACUUCAUCAAAAUUAAAAAUAGUUGUGCUUCAAAGGUCACUGUCAACAAAGUAAAAAAGACAGGUAGGCCAGGCAUGAUGGCUCAUGCCUAUAAUCCCGGCACUUUGGGAGGCUGAGACAGGAGGAUUGCUUGAGCCCAAGAGUUUGAGAACAGACUGGGCAAUGUAGUGAGUCCCCAUCAUUACAAAAAGUAAAAAAUUAGCUGGGCAUCAUGGUGCACACCUGUUGUCCUAGCUACUUGGGAGGCUGGAAUGGGAGGAUGCACUUGAGCCGGGGAGGUCGAGGCUGCAAUGAGCUGUGAUUGCACUACUGUGUUUUAUCCUGGGUGACAAAGUGAGACCUUGUCUCAAAAAAAGAAAAAAAAGAAAAAGACAGCUUACAGAAUGGGAGGGAAUAUUUGCAAAUCAUAUAACUGAUAAGGGCCUCAUAUCCAGAGUAAAGAACUCUUAUAAUAACUCAGCAGUGAAACGACAAAUAACCCAAUUAAAAAUGGCCAAAAAUUCUGAGUAAACAUUUCUUUUUUGUUUUUGAGAUGGAGUCUUGCUCUUGUUGCCCAGGCUGGAGUGCAAUGGCGUGACCUUGGCUCAUUGCAACCUCUGCCUCCUAGAUUCAAGCGAUUCUCCUGCCUCAGCCUCCCAAGUAGCUGGGAUUAUAGGCACGCGCCACCACGCCCAACUAAUUUUUGUACUUUUAGUAGAGACGGGGUUUCACCAUGUUGGCCUGGCUGGUCUUGAACUCCUAUCCUCAGGUGAUCCACCUACCUUUGCCUCCCUAAGUGCUGGGAUUACAGGCAUGAGCCACUCACCUGGCCCUGAGUAGACAUUUCUUUCAAGCAGAUACAUAAUAUGAAUGGCCAAUAAGCACAUAAAAGAUUAGCAACUUCACCUGUCUUUAGGGAUAUGCAAAUCAGAACCACAGUGAGAUACCACUUCACAUCCAUUAGGAUGGCUAUAAUUCAAAAAACAGACAAAAACUAGUGUUGGCAAGGAUGUGGAGAAAUUUGGAAACUUCAUACAUUUGUGGUACCAUGUUUACCUCUUAAAAAUGGUGCAACCUGUGUGGAAAACAGUUCGGUGGUUCCUCAAAAAGUUAAACACAGAAUUAUCUUAUGUCCCAGCGUUUCUAUUCCUAGGUUUAUACUCAAGAGAAUUGGAAACAUUAUGCUCACACAAAAAUAUGUACCCGAAUCUUCAUAGCAGCAUUAUUCAGAAUAGCCAAAAAGUGAAAACAACCCAAAUAUCCAACUGAUGGAUGUGUAAAUAAAAUGUGGUAUAUAGCCAUACAAUGGAAUAUUAUUAAUACUCAGCCAUAACCAUAAUCACAUGCUAUGACAUGGAUGAACCUGAAAAAUAUGCUAAGUGAAAAAACCCUGUCACAACAGACUACAUAUGUUAUUAUUCCAUUUAUAUGAAAUGUCCAAAAUAGGCAAAUCCAUAGGCUGGAGGAGAGAGGUUAAUGGGAAGUUUCUGAUAAUGGAUGUGUGUUUUUUGUGGGGAAGAGGGGUUAUGAAAAUGUUCUAAAAAUUAGGCAAGAAAAAAACGAGUGGCAUUGGUUGAAUGACCCUGAGUCUAUUAAAAACCACUGAUUUGGAAGCUUCAAAAGGGUGAAUUUUCUGGUAUGUGAAUUACAUCUCAAUAAAGCUGUCAAAAAACAAAACAAAACAAAACAAAAAACAACCCAAGAUGGAAAAGAGAUGGACAUGUUUGAGGGACAGAAAUGAGGCUGGUGUGGCUGGAGCAUAGCUGGCAAGAUGGAGAGUAGCUAAGGUGAGGGGAGAAGCAAGAUUGAGUAGGAUUGAUGUGCAGUGGGACGACAUCAGAGGGCCACGGCAGGGAGUAAUGGGAUUAGGUAUGUACAUUCUUAAAAGGUUGCCCUGGCUGCUGCUAGAGAGUGGAGUGGAGGUCAGUUAGGGAACUGGUUGGGUGUGGUGGCUCAUACCUGUAAUACCAGCACUUUGGGAGGCCAAGAAGAGUGGAUCGCUUGAGCCCUGGAGUUCUAGACCAGUCUGGGCAACAUGGUGAAACCCUGUGUCUACAAAAUAUACAAAAAUUAGCUAGGUAUCGUGGGAUGCACCUAUAGUCCCAGCUACUCGGGAGGCUGAGGUAGGAGGAUCACUUGACCCUGGGAGGUUGAGGCUGCAGUGAGCUGUGAUUCCACCACUGCACUCCAGCCUGGGCAACAGAGCAAGAUCCUGUCUCUAAAAAAAAAUUUUUUUAAAUUAAAAAAAAAAGAAGCUGCUGCAACUGUAGCCAGAUGACAGAUGAUGGCAGUUUGGAACAAUGAUAAUGGUGGAUAGAAAGAAGUGGACAUCCAGACUAUGCUUGGAGAUAGAGUCAGUGGAAUUUGCUGAUGGAAUCUGGGAAAUUAGGGAAAGAUAAAUUAGGAUCAUUCAUAGAUUUUUGGCUUGAGAAACUGGGUGAAUAUGGAACCAUUUAAUUGAGAUGAGGAUGUCUGGGGAGGAACAAAUUUGGGAAGAGAAAUCAAUAGUUUUGGCCAUGUUAAGUUUGACAUAUGUUAAGUUAGAAGACAUUCAUAUGGAGAUAUCAAAUAGACAACUUCCUGAGAUGCAAUUUAGGCCAGUAGCUUGAAAUCUCUUGGUACCUAUAACUUACUACAUGAUGAUUCUUACCCUCUGCAGUUUAUCUUCCCUGUACACGGAGAAAAGCUUUGUGCUAUAAAAGACUGCCAGAAGGGCAGCCAGAGCUGCCCUUUACUAACUGAGAGGAAGGCCCUUGUCUUUGAGCUUCUGCUUUUUUUUUUUUUACCUCUAAAGUGGGGUUAAUGACCAUGUACACAACUGUCAAGAUCAAAGGAAAUGAACUAGGUGAAUGUAAAUUCAUGCAAACAUACUGUUUUGGCAGUAAUGAUGGCAGACACCAAAAUGAUUAUAUUCUUACCAUCCCUUUCCUUUCUACAAUGCUCUGAUGAUAAGGUGAGCUUUACCUCCUCAAGAACAAGACUAUAUUCUGAGUAUGUACCUAGCAUGUUUAUUACUCUCAGAAAAUAGAAAUCUUUUUUAGUCAGUAAGCAUGUUUCAAAAAUAUUUUGAGUUAUUUAAAAGAAAAAAAUUGCACAUAUGAAAAUCGUUUCAGAACUUUUAUUGAAGCAGGCGAAAGAAAAGUGAGCCAGCAGGUUAUAGAAGAGGCUAUGACAUAGAUACGGUUAUGAACUUGUUCUUCAAAUUCAUUUACUUAUUUGAUUUAAUGUUCAAAUUAUUACAACAACCUAACUCUUCUGAAACUGAAAUACCCUCUUUAAGGGAUGUCAUAAAAAGAGCACUACACUGAGAAUCAGAAAACAGAAGCCAGUCCUGGCUUUGCUACUAACUAGCUGGGUCCAACCUUGGAAAAAUAGCUGCAUUUCUCUGAGCCUCACUCUCUUCAUGUAUGAAAUAGAGGAUUGAACUACAGUCUGGAAAUAAAUGCAUUCAAUUCAGAAAUUUUAGAGAACUUAUUUCCUGGUGUGUGUUAAAUUUUAUUAACAUUUAAAUCAGGCUCUAGGAUCUCAGGUAUGUUGGAAAUGUGUUACAUGAUAAAGGUGGUAUUUCAUACUGGAGGGAGGGGUAAGAUGGAUUAUCUAGUAAAUAGUAUUGGGAUAACUGGCCAACCAUUGGUGGGGGAAGCCCUCAAAUCCUAUCUUUUAAAAUCAUAGUAACUGCUAUAUUAUAACAAUGCAUAUGUAGUUAACAAUACUGUACGGUAUACUUACAAUUUGUUAAUUGAGUAGAUUUUUCUUACAUGUUUUUUACCAUAAUAAAACAAAAUAUAGAUGGAUUAAGGAUUUAAAUAUAAAAAAUAAAAUCACAAGGACUAGAAAAAAGCACAACUGAAUAAUUUGACAAUAUUUAAUAAUCUUAAAGUGUGGGGUAGGCCUUUUUAAGUAUGAUAUGAACCACGAAAGUCAUGAGAGAAAAGACUUAUGAAAAUAAAAAACUUAUGCAUGGAAAAAAUGGCUGUCCCCAAGAUUAAAAGUCAACAAAACUGAGGAAAAUAUUCACAACACAUAAGAGUUAAAAGGCUAAUUUCCUAAAUAUAGAAAAUAUUUUUGCAAAUUAAUGAGAUAACCAUCCCAGUUUUAAAAAAUAUAACCAAAGGGCAUAAAUAGGCAGGUUACAGAUAAAUAAAUUAAAAGUGCACAUAAAUACAUGGACAGCUCCUCAGCUUCACUAAUAAUAAACAGCAAGAGAUUAUCAUAUUUUUUUCUCACUUAUCCAGGCAGUUUAGCAAUAAAAUGUUGAUGCUGUUUAACCCAGGCAUUCCACUUUAAAAACAAACAAAAAACCCCAAAACUAUUAUCCAGAAAUGUGUAAGUCCUCAAAGAUAUAUCUACAAGGUUAUUACCCUAGUUUAUAGUGUUAUAAAUAGCAAUAAAUUGAAAAUAACUGAAAUAUCUAUCAUAAAGGUAGUUGCAUAAAUUACGUAUUCAUAAAAUGGGUUACUGUGCAGCAGAUAGAGUGAAAUCAAUAAGUAUGUACUGAUGAAACAUCAAUGCUUUAUGGUCCAAUAACAAAAGUCCUUGUAAAAUAGUAUUGAUGCAGGACUUCUUGCUCCUUAACUCAGCUAAAAUCUGGGUUCUUGACUCACAACCAGGAAAAAUUAGGCACGUGGACACAUUGAAAGGUGAGGAGAGCGGAAUUUAUUAAAAGAAAGCUCUCAGCAAAAAAGAGGGGGUCCUGCCAACAGGCUCCCACCUCACAGAUUAAAUACCAGGCCACCACACAGGAGCUGAAGAGGCCAGGUUCUUCCCCUGCAUAAGGCACAAAUUCCUGGUGGCUCCACCCCCAUUCUUCCAGUGCUCAUGCGGGCCCUUAGUCUGAGCCACGCCACAUUGAUUUAUUUCCUUUACUGUGCAUGUGUUAAGGGACAGAAUUUUUCACCAUGGACAUGUUUAGGCAAGCCCACUGUGUAUAAUGACUGGGGUGGCAUUUGGCUGUCUCCUGUCUCUAUCACUGUGUUCUAAGUUUUUAUAAUAAUAUUUGUAGAAAAAAAUACAGGGAAAUGCACAUCAGACUUAACAGUCGUUACCUAUAGGGAUGGGAAUAAAUACAGAAUACUAUCACUUUCUAAAAUUUUUUAACAUAAUUGAUGUAAUGCUUGCAUUUUUUCGUAAGGAUAAUUUUUAAUUGGAAAUAUUAGUAUAUUAGAUAUAAACAUUGAUUUAAAAGUAACAUUUAAGAUAGUAUAAAUCGGCUGAGUGCGGUGGCUCACGCCUGUAAUCCCAGCACUUUGGGAGGCUAAGGCGGGCGGAUCACAAGGUCAGGAGUUAGAGACCAUCUUGGCUAACACGGUGAAACCCCGUCUCUACUUAAAAUACAAAAAAAUUAGCCGGGCGUAGUGGCGGGCGCCUGUAGUCCCAGCUACUCGGAGAGGCUGAGGCAGGAGAAUGGCGUGAACCCGGGAGGCGGAGCUUGCAGUGAGCCGAGAGGGCGCCACUGCACUCCAGCCUGGGCGACAGAGCGAGACUCCGUCUCAAAAAAAAAAAAAAAAAAAUAGAAAAAAUUAGCCAGGCGUGGUGGCGGGCGCCUGUAGUCCCAGCUACUCAGGAGGCUGAGGCAGGAGAAUGGCGUGAACCCAGGAGGCGGAGCUUGUGGUGAGCCAAGAUCGCGCCACUACACUCCAGCCUGGUGACACAACGAGACUCCGUCUCAAAAAAAAAAAAAAAAAAAAAACAA